rnacentral:rRNA from 1 species
AUAAUGGGUCAGCGACUUAUAUUCUGUAGCAAGGUUAACCGAAUAGGGGAGCCGAAGGGAAACCGAGUCUUAACUGGGCGUUAAGUUGCAGGGUAUAGACCCGAAACCCGGUGAUCUAGCCAUGGGCAGGUUGAAGGUUGGGUAACACUAACUGGAGGACCGAACCGACUAAUGUUGAAAAAUUAGCGGAUGACUUGUGGCUGGGGGUGAAAGGCCAAUCAAACCGGGAGAUAGCUGGUUCUCCCCGAAAGCUAUUUAGGUAGCGCCUCGUGAAUUCAUCUCCGGGGGUAGAGCACUGUUUCGGCAAGGGGGUCAUCCCGACUUACCAACCCGAUGCAAACUGCGAAUACCGGAGAAUGUUAUCACGGGAGACACACGGCGGGUGCUAACGUCCGUCGUGAAGAGGGAAACAACCCAGACCGCCAGCUAAGGUCCCAAAGUCAUGGUUAAGUGGGAAACGAUGUGGGAAGGCCCAGACAGCCAGGAUGUUGGCUUAGAAGCAGCCAUCAUUUAAAGAAAGCGUAAUAGCUCACUGGUCGAGUCGGCCUGCGCGGAAGAUGUAACGGGGCUAAACCAUGCACCGAAGCUGCGGCAGCGACGCUGAUGCGUUGUUGGGUAGGGGAGCGUUCUGUAAGCCUGCGAAGGUGUGCUGUGAGGCAUGCUGGAGGUAUCAGAAG